rnacentral:tRNA from 1 species
ACCUGGCUGGCUCAGUCAAUAGAGCAUGUGGCUCUUGAUCCAGGGUUGUGGGUUCAAGUCCCACAUUGGGUG